ACACUCCUGCGGGAGGCAGCAGUGGGGAAUUUUGGACAAUGGGCGAAAGCCUGAUCCAGCAAUGCCGCGUGAGUGAAGAAGGCCUUCGGGUUGUAAAGCUCUUUUGUCAGGGAAGAAACGGUGAAAGCUAAUAUCUUUUGCUAAUGACGGUACCUGAAGAAUAAGCACCGGCUAACUACGUGCCAGCAGCCGCGGUAAUACGUAGGGUGCAAGCGUUAAUCGGAAUUACUGGGCGUAAAGCGUGCGCAGGCGGUUUUGUAAGUCUGAUGUGAAAUCCCCGGGCUCAAUCUGGGAAUUGCAUUGGAGACUGCAAGGCUAGAAUCUGGCAGAGGGGGGUAGAAUUCCACGUGUAGCAGUGAAAUGCGUAGAUAUGUGGAGGAACACCGAUGGCGAAGGCAGCCCCCUGGGUCAAGAUUGACGCUCAUGCACGAAAGCGUGGGGAGCAAACAGGAUUAGAAACCCUAGUAGUCCCAUG
rnacentral:rRNA from 1 species